rnacentral:misc_RNA from 1 species
UUAGGGGGUGGGGGUGAAGGGGGGGUUUACAUACAACCGAGUCUCCGUUUGUUUUUUAUGAUUGAAUCUCAGAGGCAUUCUUAUCAUUUGGUAGAUCCAAGUCCAUGGCCUAUUUCGGGUUCACUCGGAACUUUGGCAACCACCGUAGGAGGUGUGAUGUACAUGCACUCAUUUCAAGGGGGUGCAACACUUCUCAGUUUGGGCCUCAUAUUUAUCCUAUAUACCAUGUUUGUAUGGUGGCGCGAUGUUCUACGUGAGUCCACGUUGGAAGGACAUCAUACCAAAGUCGUACAAUUAGGACUUCGAUAUGGUUUUAUUCUGUUCAUCGUAUCGGAGGUUAUGUUCUUUUUUGCUUUUUUUUGGGCUU